rnacentral:lncRNA from 10 species
GUGCGCUCACCAUCGCUCCAUCUGUCAGGGCGCACCCUUUUAUAGAAGAACAUGGCCUUGCAGAGAAUUAAAAAGAAAAUUUUAUAUUUGAGUGCUAUUUCUUUUGCGGCACCGAAACUUUAUAACAAUUUCAGGGCUCACCCUUGAUUACAUUUCCCCCAGGGGCGGUCUCCGGUUCUCUCUCCUGAGGAGGCGCACCCCGCCCCCUUGUGGUGGCCUCAGGGGUGAGAAAUCAGGACCACCCAGUGCGAGGAAUAACCGGAGCUCUCUGCAACGCUGAAAGAAACUGGCCAGCAACCUAGCUUAAAGGAUCCUCACAUCUGCGGCGAUGACUCUGUGCACAGACCAAGGAAGGAGAAGCCGCCGGAGCCAGUAAAGUACUCCCUUGGUGGUCAAAUUCCGGAGGGCUAAAUGUGUGUGUGCAUGAAUGAUCACAAAUAACCCUACCUGCGGUGUUGUUCAUGUGGAUGGUGACAAGACCUACUGCUGGACAGAAGGUCUUUUAGCACAGGUGCUGCCUUUGGACUUUCCAGUGCCUCAGCAUCAGCCUGGGGAUCACGUUCUCAUCAAAGAGGGGAAAGAAGGGAAACUCGAGCCAGCCCGGGAAGGACCCUACCUUGUGCUGCUAACCACUGAGACUGCUGUUCGUAAGGUUGGAAAGAGAUGGACACAUCACACAUGAGUCAAGCAAGCACCAUUAUCCUCAGAAUCAUGGGCCAUUGUUCCUGGAUCAAGCCCUACCAAAUUAAAGCUAAGGAAAGCUUAGUCUAUCUAUCUUUUCCUUUCCCUUCCUUACCCAGUGCUUAUAUCCAUUACUAUUCCUACCACUAGCAACUCUAACCCCACUUUAGAACGCUUCUGUGGUUUAGGAGCAGAGGUCACUGGAAAGGAUCCUAUGGGCUUCUUUAAGGUGGGCUUUGUUCUCCCUCCUCCACCUCCUAUGGCUGCCCCUUUCCCAAACCUACAAAAUCAAACUAUGACUCACCUCAUGCCAAAUGACAAAAGCAAGGUCCCGGUAGUAGAAAUAGGAGACCUAAGGCAAACCAUAGCCAUUAAAACAGGGUAUAAAAAUGUAAAUGCCUGGUUAAAAUUGAUUAAAUAUUCUGUCCACACGUUAAACAAAGGCAAUUUUUAUGCUUGUGCACAUGACAGGCCAGAAGCCCAGAUUGUCCCCUUUCCACUAGGGUGGCCCUCUAGUUGACUGGGCAUGGCCUGCAUGGCAGAUCUUUCCCAGGAUUAUUCAGCCUGGGGUAACAAGUCGUGCCAAGCUCUCUCUCUGCUACAUCCCGAAGUUCAACACCCUGCGGGUCAGCCCCCAAGGGCCAUCCAGCUUCCAUCUCCCAACACUAAGUUCACUUCGUGUCUCUCAGGACCGGGAGGAAACUUAGCGUUCCUUGGAGUCCUGAAGGGAUGCAGUGAGAUUAAGAAAUUUCAAGAGCUUACCAAUUAGCCCUUACUCAUCCCUGAGCAGAUGUGUAGUGGUAUUAUGAUGGACCUUUACUGGACACUCUGCCGAGUAACUGAAGUGGCACUUGCUUUAGUCCAGUUGGCUAUCCCUUUCACGCUGGCAUUUCAUCAACCAGAGAAAGGAAAAAUAAGAUAUCAUAAAGCAAAAGAAGCCCCUUAUGGGUCUUUUGACUCUCACAUCUAUUUAGACAUAAUUACAGUCCCACAGGGAAUACCAGAUCAAUUUAAAGCCUGAAAUCAAAUAGCUGCAGGAUUUGAGUCAAUAUUUUGGUGGGUGACAAUAAAAUGUAAAUUGGAUAAACUACAUCUAUUACAACCAACAGCCAUCCAUUAACUACACUAGAGAUGCUGUUAAAGGAAUAGCUGAGCAAUUAGGGGCUACUAGCCAGAUGGCUUGGGAAAAAUAGGAUAGCCUUAGACAUGAUAUUAGCAGAAAAAGGAAGAAUUUGCAUCAUAAUUAAAAAUCAAUGUUGUAACUUCAUCCCAAACAACACCGCCCCUAAUGGAAGUAUAACAAAGGCAUUGCAAGGUCUGACUGCUCUAUCCUGAGUUAGCCAAUAACUCGGGGGUAAAUGACCCCUUUACAGGAUGGCUGGAAAAGUGGUUCAGUAAAUGGAAAAGAAUAGUAGCCCCAAUUCUUACUUCCAUCGCAGCCAUCAUAGGUGUGCUUAUUCUUGUCGGGUGUUGUGUCACACUAAGGAAGGAGACCGCUACAACUCCUGCUGCCCUCCUCCCACCACCUUGCCUAGUUCACAAGACAGGAGGAAAGAGAGAAAGCAAAAAGCUGGAAAGAAGCAAAAGUAAGAUAAAUAGCCAGACAACCUUGGCACCACCACCUGGCCCUAGGAGUUAAAAAGGUAAUAAUAAUAACAUCAACCCCAGACCUAAACUACUUGUGUUAUCUGUAAAUUCCAGACAUUGUAUGAAAAAGCAUUGCAAAACUUUCUGUUCUGUUAGCUGAUGCAUGUAGCCUCCAGUCACGUUCCCCACGCUUGCUGGAUUUAUCACGACCUUUUCAUGUGGACCCCUUUAGAGUUGUAAGCCUUUAAAAAGGCCAAGAAUUCAGUUUGCAGGGAGCUCAGCUCUUAAGAUGCAAGUCUGCCGAUGCUCUCAGCCAAGUAAACCUCUUCCUUCUUUAAUCCAGUGUCUGAGGAGUUUUGUCUGCGUUGGUGCAGAGGUUUAUAAAAACGGCACUUACUAAAACCUCCCUUAACUAUCCUCCACCUUAUCCAGAGAAGCUUCUUCUUUUGGAAAAUCAAGCAGAACAACUAAGCCAAGACAUGUUAAAGAAGUUUGAAGGGAAAGAGCUGUAAGGAAAUGCAAGAGGAGAGAUUGUUAGAUAUGAGUUCUAAAUUUCUCUUCAAAGAAUCAAUAUGUCAGUAUGUUCCAUUCUUUGCCUUUUACUUGUAAACUUCCUCGUAACGCAAACAUUUUCGAUUACCUGCUCCAUCCUGACUCAUUCCGAUUACCUGCUCUGCCCUGAAUUCUGAUUUCCUGCUCUGCCAUAACAAUUUUUCCCGCCAAAUCACUCACCCUGUCACUCUCUUUAAAUUAACCAAUUGGCAUUAGUUUAGCCUGUGCGGUCUAACCCUAACCAAUAGGGGAACAACACAGCAGCAGAGGCCACGUGCAUCAGGGAUAAGAACCCCUUCUCCCUUGUCCAAGUGUGCGCUCGCCAUUGCUCCAUCUAUAAGGGCGCACCCUUCUAUAGAAGUACAUUGCCUUGCUGAGAAUUAAAAAGAAAAUUUUAUAUUCGAGUGCUAUGUCUUUUGCGGCACCGAAACUUUAUUUAUAACAAAAUCUACAAGGGCUUAACGAUAAAGUCAAAAUUACUGACAAGCUCAGGGAAAAUGCAGACUUCAGCCCCAGGUGGCUACAAUCCCUCUUUAAUGAAUUCCAGUCUUCUUUAUGGAAUUGGUUAACCCCUUUAAUAAGCACCCUCUUGCUGUUAUGUCUUGUAUUAAUAAUUGGACCCUGUAUACUCAAUACUAUAACUUGAAUUGUUUCCUCUCACCUAGAAGCGAUCAAACUCCAAAUGGUCCCGCAAACUGAGCCACUCAUGGACAGGCCUUUCUUCUGAGGACCUUUAGGUUGACCCCACAAGGAGCCCUCGCUGCUGUUCCCCAUUCAACGCCCCUUUUCAGCAGGAAGCAGCCAGAAAGAGUCAUCAGCCAAAACCUCCUAACAGCAGUUAGGGUGACAUCUCCACAGGGGGGAAUGUUAUAGGAGUUAUUAAGAAAUUAUUUUAGGCAGAUAGAGAGGAAAAGGGGUCCUUGGGAAGUUUUUGUUUCUUUCUUUUAAAGCAGCUGCAUAAAUGUUUCUUGUCUAGCAGGAAAGCACAGGCUCUUAGAGCCAGGCCGGCAACCUUUGAUAUGCAAUUGCAGGCCAUUAGAAACUGGGUCCACCCAAACAUGGCGAUUCCUGCCCUCUUCUUCUUAGUGCCUCAAUCACUCAUUUUGGUCGUUACCAGAAAGGAACUCAUAUUUAGCUGGAAUCUAUGCCAGGUAAUGUUACAGAGGGUAGUAGUCAGACAUGAACAGGGCAGGAGAAGGCCCCCACACCCCACCAGGAAUGUCAGGUGAUGGUCCAGCAGUUGUCCCACUGCCUCUCUAAAAUAAUAACUGGUCUGAGCCAGCACCAGGGAAAGACAGUUUCCCAACAGAUUAAAAAAACACCUGAAACUGGUGAUUGGCAGCUUCCCGAUAAGAUCUCAGGAAUUGGGUGAGUGGGCUCAAUCAUGUGCAUUAAGAGGCAAAAUAGCAGAGUUUAACUGGCAUAUGACCUUCCAGGUACAUUCCACCAGAAAAGGGAAGAACACCUACCUCAGGUGAGCAUGCAUACAACUCUAGCAAACACACUGCGCAUGCUCACCUCCCGAGCCUAGCAGGCCACCGCGCAUGCACGCAGAUCACCCUCGCCCUAAGGGAAGAAUGAGGGGAAGAGGCACCAGAUGUUGGAAGUAUGCCAGCACCUAAAUCCCUAAAUCCAAGGUCAAGUGGGGCACUUGUCCUUCAACUUGCCCAGCUGGGCCUCCUCCAAGUGUACUUUCCUUUCUUUCAUUCCCGUUCUAAAGCUUUUUAAUAAUCUUUAGCUUCUGCUCUGAUACUUGCCUUGGUCUCUUAUUCUGCCUUAUGCCCCUCAGUCAAAUUCUUCUGAGGAGGCAAGAAUUCAGGGAGGGAGGGAAGGAGGGAGGAAAGUGAAGGCAGGGAGGGAGGGAGGGAGGGAGGAGGGAGGGAGGAUGGAAGGAAGGAAGGGAGGAAGGGAGGGAGGGAGGGAGGGGGCAAGUGAAGGGAGGAAGGGAGGAAAGUGAAGGGAGGAAGGAAGGAAGGAAGGAGAAGGGAAGAAGGAAAGGAAGGAAGGAAGGAUACAUCCUUGAAUAAGGAUCAAUGAGGACCAAAGCCCCAAAAUGACAAAUGUCCCAUAGGACAGGGUGGGGUAGCAUUUCUAAUGUGAUGCUAGCCUGCGUUCCAUCAAAAAUGGGUUUACUGGCCGGGUGCAGUGGCUCACACCUGUAAUCCCAGCACUUUGGGAGGCCGAGGCAGGUGGAUCACUUGAGGUCAGGAGUUCGACACCAACCUGGCCAACAUGUUGAAACCCCAACUCUCCUAAAAAUACAAAACAUUAGCUGGGUGUGGUGGUAGGCGCCUGUAAUCCCAGCUACUCGGGAGGCUGAAACAGGAGAAUCACCUGAACCCACGAGGCAGAGGUUGCAGUGAGUUGAGAUAGUGCCAUUGCACU